UAAACUGGGAUUAGAUACCCCACUAUGCCUAGUCGUAAACUUUAACUUACUCUUCCACGCCCGGGAACUACGAGCUAAGCUUAAAACCCAAAGGACUUGACGGUACCCCAUAUCCCCCUAGAGGAGCCUGUCCUAUAAUCGAUAAUCCCCGCUUAACCUCACCAUUUUUUGCUAAUCAGCCUGUAUACCUCCGUCGUCAGCUUACCACGUGAGCGUCAGUGAGCCUAAUGUUUUUCUAACUAUACGUCAGGUCAAGGUGCAACAUAUAAAAUGGAAAGAGAUGGGCUACACUUUCUAUCAUAGAAUAAACGAAAGACUAAUGAAACCUAGUCAGAAGGCGGAUUUAGUAGUAAAAUGAAACUAGAGCGUUCACUUAAAUACGGCACUGGGGUGUGUACACACCGCCCGUCACCCUCCUCCCUAACCGUGCGAAGGU
rnacentral:rRNA from 1 species